UACGUAGGGUGCAAGCGUUGUCCGGAAUUAUUGGGCGUAAAGAGCUCGUAGGCGGUUCGUCGCGUCGGCUGUGAAAACCUGAGGCUCAACCUCAGGCCUGCAGUCGAUACGGGCAGACUUGAGGUAUGCAGGGGAGAACGGAAUUCCUGGUGUAGCGGUGAAAUGCGCAGAUAUCAGGAGGAACACCGGUGGCGAAAGCGGCGCGCUGGAUCCCUACUGACGCUGAGGCACGAAAGCCAGGGGAGCAAACGGG
rnacentral:rRNA from 1 species